rnacentral:tRNA from 1 species
GCCUGGGUGGCUCAAUCGGUUAAGCAUCUGACUUCGGCUCAGGUCACAAUCUCCUGGUUCGUGGGUUCGAGCCCCAAGUCGGGCU